rnacentral:tRNA from 1 species
UCGGUUAGAAUACCGGCCUGUCACGCCGGGGGUCGCGGGUUCGAGUCCCGUCCGCUGCGCCA